GCUGUUGAAGAUGAUGAUUUAAUUCUUUACAUACUUGAUGGUCUCAAUCCGGAGUAUCGAGGUAUUGUUAAAGCAAUUAGAGGACGUGAAAAUCCAAUUACUUUUGAGGAUCUUCAUGAUCGACUUGUGAGUCAAGA